GCUCAGGACGAACGCUGGCGGCGUGCCUAAUACAUGCAAGUCGAACGCUCUUUUCCCACCGGAGCUUGCUCCACCGGGAAAAGAGGAGUGGCGAACGGGUGAGUAACACGUGGGUAACCUGCCCAUCAGAAGGGGAUAACACUUGGAAACAGGUGCUAAUACCGUAUAACAAUCGAAACCGCAUGGUUUCGUUUUGAAAGGCGCUUUACGGUGCCGCUGAUGGAUGGACCCGCGGUGCAUUAGCUAGUUGGUGAGGUAACGGCUCACCAAGGCCACGAUGCAUAGCCGACCUGAGAGGGUGAUCGGCCACAUUGGGACUGAGACACGGCCCAAACUCCUACGGGAGGCAGCAGUAGGGAAUCUUCGGCAAUGGACGAAAGUCUGACCGAGCAACGCCGCGUGAGUGAAGAAGGUUUUCGGAUCGUAAAACUCUGUUGUUAGAGAAGAACAAGGGUGAGAGUAACUGUUCACCCCUUGACGGUAUCUAACCAGAAAGCCACGGCUAACUACGUGCCAGCAGCCGCGGUAAUACGUAGGUGGCAAGCGUUGUCCGGAUUUAUUGGGCGUAAAGCGAGCGCAGGCGGUUUCUUAAGUCUGAUGUGAAAGCCCCCGGCUCAACCGGGGAGGGUCAUUGGAAACUGGGAGACUUGAGUGCAGAAGAGGAGAGUGGAAUUCCAUGUGUAGCGGUGAAAUGCGUAGAUAUAUGGAGGAACACCAGUGGCGAAGGCGGCUCUCUGGUCUGUAACUGACGCUGAGGCUCGAAAGCGUGGGGAGCAAACAGGAUUAGAUACCCUGGUAGUCCACGCCGUAAACGAUGAGUGCUAAGUGUUGGAGGGUUUCCGCCCUUCAGUGCUGCAGCUAACGCAUUAAGCACUCCGCCUGGGGAGUACGACCGCAAGGUUGAAACUCAAAGGAAUUGACGGGGGCCCGCACAAGCGGUGGAGCAUGUGGUUUAAUUCGAAGCAACGCGAAGAACCUUACCAGGUCUUGACAUCCUUUGACCACUCUAGAGAUAGAGCUUCCCCUUCGGGGGCAAAGUGACAGGUGGUGCAUGGUUGUCGUCAGCUCGUGUCGUGAGAUGUUGGGUUAAGUCCCGCAACGAGCGCAACCCUUAUUGUUAGUUGCCAUCAUUUAGUUGGGCACUCUAGCAAGACUGCCGGUGACAAACCGGAGGAAGGUGGGGAUGACGUCAAAUCAUCAUGCCCCUUAUGACCUGGGCUACACACGUGCUACAAUGGGAAGUACAACGAGUCGCGAAGUCGCGAGGCUAAGCUAAUCUCUUAAAGCUUCUCUCAGUUCGGAUUGUAGGCUGCAACUCGCCUACAUGAAGCCGGAAUCGCUAGUAAUCGCGGAUCAGCACGCCGCGGUGAAUACGUUCCCGGGCCUUGUACACACCGCCCGUCACACCACGAGAGUUUGUAACACCCGAAGUCGGUGAGGUAACC
rnacentral:rRNA from 1 species